rnacentral:rRNA from 1 species
UACGAAGGGGGCUAGCGUUGCUCGGAAUCACUGGGCGUAAAGGGCGCGUAGGCGGCGUUUUAAGUCGGGGGUGAAAGCCUGUGGCUCAACCACAGAAUGGCCUCGAUACUGGGACGCUUGAGUAUGGUAGAGGUGGUGGAACUGCGAGUGUAGAGGUGAAAUUCGUAGAUAUUCGCAAGAACACCGGUGGCGAAGGCGGCCAACUGGACCAUUCUGACG